AUUCAAGAGCCGCCGGAACCGGUGGGUCCUACUCUACUUGCUGUGCCAUCUUCAGCUGGCGGCUGCGGAGCGAAGAAACGGAGAAGAGAAAAUGGCGAGAAGAGAAACGGUGAAGAAGGCGGAGGAGCUGGUGGAGAUGGCGAUGGGUGGUAACGACGCGUCGCACGAUCCUUCUCACGUCUGGAGAGUUCGAGACCUUGCUCUCUCACUAGCCCAAGAAGAAGGCCUCUCUUCCAAGACUGACUCCAUGGAAAUCGUUGAACUUGCUGCGCUCCUCCACGAUAUAGGUGAUUACAAGUACUUGAGAGACCCAAGUGAGGAAAAAGUUGUGGAGAAUUUUCUUGAGGAAGAGGGAAUUGAGGAAAACAAGAAACAAAAGAUAUUAGCGAUCAUAAAGGGCAUGGGCUUCAAGGAAGAGAUUGCUGGCCUUUCAAAAGUUGACUAUUCUCCAGAGUUUGGGGUGGUUCAAGAUGCUGAUCGUUUAGAUGCAAUUGGUGCUAUUGGUAGUUUGCUGUCAUAUUACAUCAAUUAUACAAUAGUCUCAUCCAUCCUUGAAACAACUACACCCUCUUUAAUUUUCUUUUCCUUUCAGGGAUUGCUCGAUGCUUCACUUUUGGUGGAAGCAAGAAGAGAGCGCUUCACGAUCCUGCAAUUCGUCCUCGAACAAGUUUAUCCAAAGAAGCAUACAUGAACAAAGAAGAGCAGACUACUGUGAAUCACUUCCACGAGAAGCUACUGAAAAUAAAGGAUAUGAUGAAAACAAAGGCUGGACAGAGGAGGGCAGAGAAAAGGCACAAGUUCAUGGAGGAAUUCCUGAAGGAGUUUUAUGAUGAAUGGGACCAAAAGGCUUAAUUCUUUAUUGAAGAUAUCAUCCAUUCUUCUCUGAAUCUCAAGCUGGAAAUGCAGAGAAAGAUUACUUGUAAGAAAACUACCAACCUUGCCCUAUUUCUAAAAAUGCAGUGUAUUAUUUAAGCAACUCAAUUCCACUAUAUAUGUUGUGAUACAAUAGGAAGAAUCGAACUUUUGUUCCAACAUGGAGUUUUCCCUUUUGGUUAGAUCCUGCAUAAAUAGUAUCAAUUUCACUUCUUAAGCAACUU